rnacentral:rRNA from 1 species
AUUGAACGCUGGCGGCAUGCCUAACACAUGCAAGUCGAACGGCAGCACAGUGUGUAGCAAUACACAUGGGUGGCGAGUGGCGGACGGGUGAGUAAUGCGUAGGAAUCUGCCCUUAAGUGGGGGAUAGCCCGGAGAAAUCCGGAUUAAUACCGCAUGUGCUCUACGGAGCAAAGCGGGCCUCUGUUUCAAGCUCGCGCUUGAGGAUGAGCCUACGUCGGAUUAGCUAGUUGGUGGGGUAAAGGCCUACCAAGGCGACGAUCCGUAGCUGGUCUGAGAGGAUGACCAGCCACACUGGGACUGAGACACGGCCCAGACUCCUACGGGAGGCAGCAGUGGGGAAUAUUGGACAAUGGGCGAAAGCCUGAUCCAGCAAUGCCGCGUGUGUGAAGAAGGCCUGCGGGUUGUAAAGCACUUUUGUCGGGAAAGAAAAUCACAGGGUUAAUACCCCUGUGCCUUGACGGUACCCGAAGAUAAGCACCGGCUAACUCCGUGCCAGCCGCCGCGGUAACAC